UUGUUUGAAUGUUUCAUGUGUUUUGUAGAAAUAUCAUGUGCCAGUAACCCUUGCCUUACAUGGUGGAACUUGUAUUGAUGGUAUUAGUAGGUACACUUGCAACUGUGUUCUCGGGUAUGCUGGUACCAAAUGUGAAACAAGUUUAGCAGCAGUAGGAUGAAAAAUCAUUACCCAGUUACAGCAUUGAGGAAAGAAUACAAUAUUAAAAGGAAUAUUUUAUAA